rnacentral:rRNA from 1 species
CAGGCCUAACACAUGCAAGUCGAACGGAUAACAAUGAUAGCUUGCUAUUAUUGUUGUUAGUGGCAAACGGGUGAGUAAUACAUAGGAACUUGCCUAUCAGUACGGGAAAACGGUUGGAAACUUCUGCUAAUUCCGUAUAUUCCCUCUGGGGGAAAGAUCUAUCGCUGAUAGAUAGGCCUAUGUCAGAUUAGCUUGUUGGUAGGGUAAAGGCCUACCAAGGCUACGAUCUGUAGCUGGUUUGAGAGAAUGAUCAGCCACACUGAAACUGAGACACGGUUCAGACUCCUACGGGGGGCAGCAGUGGGGAAUAUUUGACAACGAGCGAAAGCUUGAUCAAGCAAUACCACGUGAGUGAUGAAGGCCUUUGGGUUGUAAAGCUCUUCUAACAGUUAAGAUGAUGACGGUAACUGUAGAAAAAGCACCGGCUAACUUCGUGCCAGCAGCCGCGGUAAGACGAAGGGUGCAAGCGUUGCUCGGAAUUACUGGGCGUAAAGGGUAUGUAGGCUGUAUAGCAAGUUAGGAGUGAAAUCCUAGAGCUCAACUUUAGAACUGCUUCUAAAACUGCUAUACUCAGAGGUAUAUCGAGGACAGUGGAAUUCCUAGUGGAGAGGUGGAAUUCGUAGAUAUUAGGAGGAACAUCAGGUGCGAAGGCGACUGUCUAGGUAUUACCUGACGCUGAGGUACGAAAGUGUGGGGAGCAAACAGGAUUAGAUACCCUGGUAGUCCACACCGUAAACGGUGAGUGCUAGG